CCACUAAGGACGAGUAAGGUACAGGUGUUUUUAAUUUUUUUUAAAUAUUUAAUAUAUUGAGGUUUUCUAACUCGCGACAAUUUAUAAAUAUAAAAUUAUGUUAAAACUUAAACGCGAAUAAAACAAAUUUGUUUAUUUGUGUUCGGGGUCUGUUUAUAUAUGAGCGUGAGUGAUUGUGUAUCGUUUUAUUAAACAUGGCGUCUUCGACUUAGAAAUAUAACGUACUGCAUCUUGUAUUACGAUUUAAAGGGAAAUGAGAAUAUAAAUUUUUAUUUUCUUAUUUGAAAGAACUUUUGAAACUAUAUAUAUUAACUUCUUUUACCGAUUUUUCAUAUUUUGCUAACAGUUCUUGAAAUAUUUUCACUUAAUUGAAGUAACCGGAUGUCCGCCGUCUUGAUAACAUUUUUUAUCUCAUUAACGGUAGUUUUGGAACAGUCCAAAUAUUGAUUGGUACAUGUUUUAAAGGUUUUGAGUGAUCUUGAUAUUUCGAAGAUGGCGGACAUUUCUUCAUUCCUUUCAAUCAAAAUAUUUGUAGAAGUAUAAGCAAGCUAUGAAAAAACGGUAAGAGUAUUAUAUAUAGCAGGGGUCUUCACCCCUUUUUUUCGGCGACCCAAACCCAAGCUUCAUAGGUGUCCCGCGACCUAACCUGAAGUUCAGGCCCUACUCACAGAAUAGGGCCUGACACAGAACCUAUCUAAAGUGUGAGAUUCCCGUCCACCUGGUGGACGGGAAAUCUGAUUGGUUGAUCAGCAUCAUGAAGGAUUUUGAUUGGUUGCAAGUUUACAUAAACAACAGUUUUAAAAAUAGCUCGGUCAAGGCGACAAUUAAUAUAAAGAUCAAACGCACGUACAAAUUCCAUUAUCGAUUUCUUCGAAUUUCUUUUUCUUUUAUGCUUUAUGGCAGAAAAUAAAUCAAACAAACAGUAUUUUGAAAGGGCUUUAUCAAAAUCUUGGACGAAUUUUGGACACACGACGCUGAAAGAACAGCCAAACUAGUCAUGUAUUCGAAAGCUUGUUGUUGACAGCCAAGAUGUUCUGCCAACUGGCUUCGCCGGCAAAAGUCUUAUUUUUAAUAUCAGGUCCUACCGGCGUUGUUUUCUGAGCUACAUCGCCUUCUUCGUGGUACGAUUGAGAAUUUCAUUGUUGCUGUUGUUAGCCCGUUUUAAUAAAGUAUAUCCCUAAUAUCCGCGUCCAGCAAGUUGAGACCUUGAGAAAGCUUGGCAGUCUAGCCGUGCACAGAACUGACUAAUUAAAUCUUUGUCUGAAUCUUAUUUAUAUAAAAGUACCUUGGAUUUUUAAGUUUAAUUAUAAAGCAAAAUGCACACUCUGCGGACAUG
rnacentral:lncRNA from 1 species